UACAGAGGUCUCAAGCGUUGUUCGGAUUCAUUGGGCGUAAAGGGUGCGCAGGUGGCGGCGCGCGUGGGGGGUGAAAUCGCCCGGCUUAACUGGGCGGGGGCCUUCCAGACGGCGUGGCUUGAGCAGCGGAGGGGGACGUGGAAUUCCGGGUGGAGCGGUGAAAUGCGUAGAGAUCCGGAGGAACACCGACGGCGCAGGCAGCGUCCUGGCCGCUUGCUGACACUGAGGCACGAAAGCUGGGGGAGCAAACAGG
rnacentral:rRNA from 1 species